GUCAAUUAGCUCAGUUGGUUAGAGCUUGGUGCUGGUAAUACCAAGGUUGCAGGUUCGAUCCCUGUAUGGGACA